rnacentral:lncRNA from 10 species
CGGAGCCUGGCCGCGGCGUGAUCGGGCAGGGCGGGACGCGGCACGUGUUUUGGUCGGAGCGAGGGGCGGGGCCUGAGGCCCUGGAAGGAAUGCGUCCUUGACCGGAGAGGUCGGAAAGCUGGCCGGUUCUAGGUGACAUUCCUGCAUCCGGUCAUUUUUGCAGACAGCGGGAGUCAGAGCUUAUCCCGCUGAAACCCGCCCAUUCUUCCCAGGCCCCGAGAAAACGCCGCCCCCUCCGGGAAGUCCUCGAGCCUGCAGGAGACAUCUAGCCCGCUGUCCAGGGCACCUUUUUUUUUCUCCCUAUAUUUCGGUUGCUCGCGUCUCUUGGUGUGGUUUGCCCACGUCUGCAGCGCCAGGUUCGUGGAGAGCAGGAACCAUGCUGUUUAUUUUCGUCGCCGCAGCCUUCAGCUCAGCGAGGAGCCACCCCUCCUCCGUCUGUUCACUGCGCGCGCCUUUGCUGAGCUGUGAUGCGGGUUGGCGCUCAGUGCAAGGGGCAGAGGCCGCAGUGAGGAAUCCUCCUUUUUUAAAAGCUCCAUCCAGGGAGCGGGAGCAGAGAGAGAAUCCCGGCACCCCGGGGCUUUGCUCUGAGCGAGAGAAUUCUGGUCUUAGGGGAACGGGCUGGGCCCCACCACUCACAUGAGCAGGACUCUGGUCCCCACUUGUUCCUUCGGGGCCCACUCGGGUUGGGCAGAGGGGUUGACCAGGCUGAGGAGAGGGUGUUUGCUGAAAUAGUAAGAGGGUUUAAGACGAAAGAACCGUGAUAAACUGCUCGCAUGAAGACCCCGGAGGCUCUGAGAGGGGCGCAGGGUGUUCUGUGUGUAAAACGUCAGAGACUCAGUCUCAAAAAAACAAACAAAAAACUGAACUCGGAUUCCAGCCAAAUCUGGAUUUCUCACCUCCGUGAAGGACAGCAUUCCUUCUGCGUGGAACAUGCCAACCCUCGUCUGCUUUGACUUUGCAAAACUGCAUGAGACCGCCGGGCGCGGUGGCUCACGCCUGUAAUCCCAGCACUUCAAGAGGCCGAGGCAGACAGAUCACCUGAGGUCAGGAGUUUGAGGCCAGCCUGGCCAGCAUGGUGAAACCCCGUCUCUACUAAAAAUACAAAAAAUCAGCCAGUAAUCCUAGCUACUCGGGAGGCUGAGGCAGGAGAAUCGCUUGAACCCAGGAAGCAGAGGUUGCAGUGAGCCGAGGUCAUGCCAUUGCACUCCAGCCUGGGCUACAAGAGUGAAACUCCGUCUCAAAAAAGAAAAAAAAAAAGAAAAAAAGACUGCAUAUGACUCCCCAGUGAAGCCCUCCCUGAUUGGCCUCUGCAGAAGGCAGCAUGCCCGGGCUUUGGAGUCAGACCUGCAUACAAAUCCUUGUUUUGCCGGUGUGACCUUGCCAAGUCUUCUUUCCUGCAGGACAGAAGGCGGCAGCAGCUCUCCCUGAACUGGCACUCUGGCUUCUCUUGCCCCAGGGUCUGUUUCUGCUCCUUGGACAGCAGGCGCAUGUGGGAACUGUGCCCUCUUCAGCCAUGAGCCCCUGUUCUGCGCACAUCUAGCCCAUCUUCCAGAUGGACAGACAGUCUGUGGUCGUCGCCAAACCCCUGAAUCUGGCCCUGCCCGCAGUCAGAGGGAUGGCAAUUUGUAAGCUACAGACUAUUGCGAAUCAUUCACUUGGAGACUGAACUAAGACUACUGGCACCAGGCUCCGUAGACCCUCGGGAAGAGCAUGGUCUGGCAGGCAGACUGGAUGUGGCCACAGAUAACAUCCCCUAAGGGGAGAGCGUGAGCCUGCAGGCCAGAAUGCCACCACUUUCUCCUGUGUCGUUCCAGAGAGAGCCUGUGGCUAUGCACGCUUGCUGCUACAGAGGGUAGUGCUGUAUACCUCCUGGGCUCACUUACUGACUUUUCAGUCUAAGGGCUUAUUGCAAUUGGUACAUAACGAUCAUACUUUGUAAUGGUUAAGUAAUAUUCCAUCAUAUGGAUGUGUUGUUUAUUUAACAUUCUGGUUGAAUAACCAAGACUUUUAGGUUUCCAGUUUUCCAGGAACAUCAUGCCCCUCCAUCAUUUGCCCACCUGGAAGGAUAACUACAGGAUAAGCAGCUCUUAGAACUGGAAUUGCUGAGUUAACUGCUCUGUGCAUUUCCUUGCUUUUUCUUGCUUUUCUUUUCUUUCUUUUAUUAUUUUUUUGGGUAAAUUUUUAUUGAACUAUAGCAUAGCGUAGAUACAGGAAAGUGUAAAAACUUAAAUGUACAAUUCAAUGAAUUUUCGCUAGGCAAACACUGUGUCACCAGCACCCAGAUUUAGAAACAGAAUAUUACCAGAAUCCCAAAAGCCCCAUGAGCUGCCGUCCAGUCACUACUUACCGUUUCCCUGAUCCCCUGCAUAGGAUAAUCCUUAUCAUGGCUUCUGACACUUUCGGUUGGUUUUGGAUGUACUGACACUUUUUGUGUGU